CGGAAGGCAGCAGUGGGGAAUAUUGCACAAUGGGGGAAACCCUGAUGCAGCGACGCCGCGUGAGUGAAGAAGUAUUUCGGUAUGUAAAGCUCUAUCAGCAGGGAAGAUAAUGACGGUACCUGACUAAGAAGCCCCGGCUAACUACGUGCCAGCAGCCGCGGUAAUACGUAGGGGGCAAGCGCUAUCCGGAUUUACUGGGUGUAAAGGGAGCGCAGGCGGUUUUUUAAGUCUGAUGUGAAAGCCCGUGGCUCAACUGCGGGACUGCAUUGGAAACUGGAGAACUAGAGUGUCGGAGGGGCAAGUGGAAUUCCUAGUGUAGCGGUGAAAUGCGUAGAUAUUAGGAGGAACACCAGUGGCGAAGGCGGCUUGCUGGACGAUAACUGACGCUGAGGCUCGAAAGCGUGGGGAGCAAACAGGAUUAGAUACCCUGGUA
rnacentral:rRNA from 1 species